AUACGGAGGGUCCAAGCGUUAUCCGGAAUCAUUGGGUUUAAAGGGUUCGUAGGCGGGUCAAUAAGUCAGAGGUGAAAUCUUGCAGCUUAACUGUAAAAUUGCCUUUGAAACUGUUGACCUUGAAUUACUGUGAAGUGGUUAGAAUAUGUAGUGUAGCGGUGAAAUGCUUAGAGAUUACAUAGAAUACCGAUUGCGAAGGCAGAUCACUAACAGUAUAUUGACGCUGAUGAACCAAAGCGUGGGUAGCGAACGGGAUUAGAAACCCCAGUAGUCC
rnacentral:rRNA from 1 species